CUCAGGAUGAACGCUGGCGGCGUGCUUAACACAUGCAAGUCGAACGGGAUCCAUCAGGCUUUGCUUGGUGGUGAGAGUGGCGAACGGGUGAGUAAUGCGUGACCGACCUGCCCCAUGCACCGGAAUAGCUCCUGGAAACGGGUGGUAAUGCCGGAUGCUCCAUCAUACCGCAUGGUGUGUUGGGAAAGCCUUUGCGGCAUGGGAUGGGGUCGCGUCCUAUCAGCUUGAUGGCGGGGUAACGGCCCACCAUGGCUUCGACGGGUAGCCGGCCUGAGAGGGCGACCGGCCACAUUGGGACUGAGAUACGGCCCAGACUCCUACGGGAGGCAGCAGUGGGGAAUAUUGCACAAUGGGCGCAAGCCUGAUGCAGCGACGCCGCGUGAGGGAUGGAGGCCUUCGGGUUGUAAACCUCUUUUGUUAGGGAGCAAGGCACUUUGUGUUGAGUGUACCUUUCGAAUAAGCACCGGCUAACUACGUGCCAGCAGCCGCGGUAAUACGUAGGGUGCAAGCGUUAUCCGGAAUUAUUGGGCGUAAAGGGCUCGUAGGCGGUUCGUCGCGUCCGGUGUGAAAGUCCAUCGCUUAACGGUGGAUCCGCGCCGGGUACGGGCGGGCUUGAGUGCGGUAGGGGAGACUGGAAUUCCCGGUGUAACGGUGGAAUGUGUAGAUAUCGGGAAGAACACCAAUGGCGAAGGCAGGUCUCUGGGCCGUUACUGACGCUGAGGAGCGAAAGCGUGGGGAGCGAACAGGAUUAGAUACCCUGGUAGUCCACGCCGUAAACGGUGGAUGCUGGAUGUGGGGCCCGUUCCACGGGUUCCGUGUCGGAGCUAACGCGUUAAGCAUCCCGCCUGGGGAGUACGGCCGCAAGGCUAAAACUCAAAGAAAUUGACGGGGGCCCGCACAAGCGGCGGAGCAUGCGGAUUAAUUCGAUGCAACGCGAAGAACCUUACCUGGGCUUGACAUGUUCCCGACGAUCCCAGAGAUGGGGUUUCCCUUCGGGGCGGGUUCACAGGUGGUGCAUGGUCGUCGUCAGCUCGUGUCGUGAGAUGUUGGGUUAAGUCCCGCAACGAGCGCAACCCUCGCCCCGUGUUGCCAGCGGAUUAUGCCGGGAACUCACGGGGGACCG
rnacentral:rRNA from 1 species